rnacentral:rRNA from 1 species
UAUACUUAGAGUUUGAUCCUAGCUCAGGGUGAACGCUGGCGGCAUGGAUAAGGCAUGCAAGUCACGGGGGCCGCAAGGCAACCGGCAGACGAGGUAGUAACACGUAGGAACGUACCCCAGAGUCUGGUAUAGCUCGCCGAAAGGCGGGGUAAUCCCAGAUAGUCCCCUUACCACUUUUGCACUUCAGAAAAAUAAAAUGUACUCGUGUCAUGCUCGCAUGGCAUGGAUAUUGUUAUAAAAAUUGGAGAUCAAAAGUGGUAAGGGGUAAAGGAGCAAUUCGCUCCGGGAGCGGCCUGCGUUGUAUCAGCUAGUUGGUAGGGUAAUGGCCUACCAAGGCUAUGACGCAUAGGGGCGCUGAGAGGCGGACCCCCACCGAUGGAAUUGAGAUACGGUCCAUACUCCUACGGGAGGCUGCAGUCGAGAAUCUUCGGCAAUGGGCGAAAGCCUGACCGAGCGAUGCCGCGUGGUGGAUGAAGCGCUUCGGCGCGUAAACACCUUUUAUGAGGGAGAAAGCUGUGCCUCACUAUUGUUCGGCACCGCAGAACAUCGCAGAACGAACGCAGAAGGUCGCAGAAGUAAAUGCAUCCCGCAUUUUUUCUGCGUAAUUCAGCGUCAAGUCUGCGUAAGUCUGCGCUGUGGCGAGUGAUAGCGAGGCACAGAUUGAUGUUACCUCAUGAAUAAGGGGCUCCUAACUCUGUGCCAGCAGGAGCGGUAAUACAGAGGCCCCAAGCGUUACCCGGAAUUACUGGGCGUAAAGAGUGCGUAGGUGGUCGUGUUAGUCGUUUGUUAAAUCUCCCGGCUCAACCGGG